rnacentral:rRNA from 1 species
AAGCAGUCGGAGCCCACUUGUUGGGUGACGGCGUACCUUUUGUAUAAUGGGUCAACGACUUAAUUUUAGUAGCAAGCUUAACCGUUUAGGGGAGGCGUAGGGAAACCGAGUCUUAAUAGGGCGACUUAGUGUCAGGUAUUAUACGCGAAACCGGACGAUCUAUCCAUGGCCUGGGUGAAGGUGAGGUAACACUUACUGGAGGCCCGAACCCACCUAUGUUGAAAAAUGGGGGGAUGAGCUGUGGAUAGGAGUGAAAGGCUAAUCAAACCCGGAGAUAGCUGGUUCUCCCCGAAAUCUAUUUAGGUAGAGCCUCGGACGAAUACUUACGGGGGUAGAGCACUGUUUCGGCUAGGGGGUCAUCCCGACUUACCAAACCGAUGCAAACUCCGAAUACCAACAAGUACAGUGAGGGAGACAGACUGCGGGUGCUAACGUCCGUAGUCGAGAGGGAAACAACCCAGAUCGCCAGCUAAGGUCCCAAAGUAUGAUUAAGUGGGAAACGUUGUAGGAAGGCCCAAACAGCUAGGAGGUUGGCUUAGAAGCAGCCAUCCUUUAAAGAAAGCGUAACAGCUCACUAGUCGAGUCGGCCUGCGCGGAAGAUGUAACGGGGCUAAAUAAUACACCGAAGCUGCGGGUGCACAACGGCUUGUCCGUUUGUGCACGGUAGGGGAGCGUUCUGUAUGCCACUGAAGGUAAAUCGAGAGGUUUAUUGGAGGUAUCAGAAGUGAGAAUGCUGACAUAAGUAACGAUAAGAGGGGUGAAAAACCUCUCCGCCGAAAGACCAAGGUUUCCUGUCCAACGUUAAUCGGGACAGGGUGAGUCGACCCCUAAGGCGAGGGCGAAAGCCGUAGUCGAUGGGAAAUAGGUUAAUAUUCCUAUACUUCUUGUUACUGCGAUGGAGUGACGGAGAAGGCUAGGCCAGCACAGCGACGGUUGUUCUGUGUUUAAGGUUGUAGGUUGGAGAUUUAGGUAAAUCCGGAUCUCUAAGACCGAGAACUGAUGACGAUUAUUUCUUAGGAAAUAAUAAGUAGUUGAUGCCACGCUUCCAGGAAAAACUUCUAAGCUAUAGGUAGCAAGGAAUCGUACCGUAAACCGACACAGGUGGUCAGGUAGAGAAUACUAAGGCGCUUGAGAGAACUCUGGUGAAGGAACUAGGCAAAAUGGUACCGUAACUUCGGGAGAAGGUACGCCCUCAUUACGUGAAGAGACUUGCUCUCGGAGCGGAAGAGGGUCGAAGAUACCAGUUAGCUGCGACUGUUUACUAAAAACAUAGCACUCUGCAAACAUGAAAGUGGACGUAUAGGGUGUGACGCCUGCCCGGUGCCGGAAGGUUAAUUGACUGGGUUAGCCCUUUUGGGCGAAGCUCGUGAUCGAAGCCCCGGUGAACGGCGGCCGUAACUAUAACGGUCCUAAGGUAGCGAAAUUCCUUGUCGGGUAAGUUCCG